rnacentral:lncRNA from 1 species
GCGAAGACGGUUGCCUGGGUGAUAGCGGAUCGUGAAUAACGCUCCGCGCCCCGGGGCCGGAGCACUGAUUUCUUGGCUUUGACUCCUAGGGUGACAACCCAAGGUUUGCAGAUCCUCCGAGGGUCUAGAAUACUGAGGUGGAAGACACCUUUUGCUUUAGGGUGCGUGUGUAUGGAUUUGCCCUGACGCGUCCUGGUCACGGAGAGAUGUCAAGGCGCAGGAGUCUGGUUACCUGAGGUCUCCUCCGCCUCGGGUCUAGUUUCAGGAUCUCGGGUCGUCCUCCGCACCAUCCGGGAGUCGUUUGAGCAGGGUCAGAGGGUAGAGCCGGAGGCCGCAGGCUCACCGCGGACUGACGCACGCGUGUGGACAGGAUGCCGAGCCGUUGUCCCGGGGUCGCGGGGCCGCCCGCCUUGGCCCGGACGGAAGGCAGCGAAGGGUCAGCUGGACAGUCUUAUCACCAGAAUUCCAAAGGCACUGGUGAGCAGCAUAAAGCAGAGAGAAUCAAGGAGGGACACAGAAUGUCCUCACACACUGCCAAACUGCAGGAGUUAUGGAGAACUACUCAAAUCCAAAGGAUCACAGGAUAAUCUGGGGAAUGGGGGUCUUUGGUAAUCCCAGCAGCUAGUAAAAAGAACCUUAUUUUAUGUUUGAGACUGACAGCACUGUUCACUUUACUGUCUCCAAUUAAAAUAUUUCCCUUUUCACAGGUUAAAAAUUGGAUAUGCAUCUAAAACAAGAUGCAAGUCCCUGAAGAUUUUUAGAAGACCAGGCAGACUGUUCUUGCUACCAGUUUCUUCUAAGGAUUAUCAGCCAUGCAUGAACGAUGAGACAAAGGAAGAGGAUCUACUGAAUGAGUGCAUGCAGUCCAUGUCCAUUCAGGAACAAGGCUCAUCUCAUGCCAGCCUGACAGUCUCGUGUCCCACACCAAGUUCAGCCAUCCCCUAAUACCCACAUGUUGAGCCUGAGGGGACAGUGAAGAGUUGGAACCAUGUAUGGGAUAGUGCUAGUAGCUGCUGGUAUGUUAUUUUAGUUAUUGAGAAAUUUAUAAUAGCCUUCUUCGUCUAAUAUAUUUCCGUGUUAUAUCUGUAAUGUAUGCUUGUUUCUAGCUAGAACAAUUAAAAUUUUACUUGCCAAAUAAAA